rnacentral:rRNA from 1 species
UAGUAAUCGCGGAUCAGCAUGCCGCGGUGAAUACGUUCCCGGGGAUUGUACACACCGCCCGUCACACCAUGAGAGUCGGGAACACCCAAAGUCCGUAGUCUAACCGCAAGGAGGGCGCGGCCUAAGGUGGGUUCGAUAAUUGGGGUGAAGUCGUAACAAGGUACC